CUUCUGUGUUUAAAGUCUACACUCUAAAAAAUGCUGGGUUGCCUCAACCCAACCCCGGGUCAAAUACGGACCAACCCAACCCCUGGGC